rnacentral:rRNA from 1 species
UGGCUCAUUAUAUAAGUUAUCGUUUAUUUGAUAGUACCUUACUACUUGGAUAACCGUGGUAAUUCUAGAGCUAAUACAUGCUAAAAAUCCCGACUUCGGAAGGGAUGUAUUUAUUANAUUAAAAACCAAUGCCCUCCGGGGCUCACUGGUGAUUCUUGAUAACUUCUCNAAUANCAUGGGCUUGUGCCNGCGANAGGUCAUUNACANNUNUUCCCCCUA